UGGGGAAUCUUCGGCAAUGGGCGAAAGCCUGACCGAGCCAUGCCGCGUGAGUGACGAAGGCCCUAGGGUCGUAAAGCUCUUUCGCCAGGGAUGAUAAUGACAGUACCUGGUAAAGAAACCCCGGCUAACUCCGUGCCAGCAGCCGCGGUAAUACGGAGGGGGUUAGCGUUGUUCGGAAUUACUGGGCGUAAAGCGCGCGUAGGCGGACCGAAAAGUUGGGGGUGAAAUCCCGGGGCUCAACCCCGGAACUGCCUCCAAAACUGCCGGUCUAGAGUUCUGGAGAGGUGAGUGGAAUUCCGAGUGUAGAGGUGAAAUUCGUAGAUAUUCGGAGGAACACCAGUGGCGAAGGCGGCUCACUGGCCAGAUACUGACGCUGAGGUGCGAAAGUGUGGGGAGCAAACAGGAUUAGAUACCCCCGUAGUCC
rnacentral:rRNA from 1 species